rnacentral:rRNA from 2 species
UUGUUGGAGAGUUUGAUCCUGGCUCAGGACGAACGCUGGCGGCGUGCUUAAUACAUGCAAGUCGAACGAGGUCCAUCCGAUCUUCGGAUUGGUGAAGACCUAGUGGCGAACGGGUGCGUAACACGUGAGAAACCUGCCCCGGUCUCUGGAAUAACAGUUGGAAACGGCUGCUAAUACCGGAUGCCGUCGGACCAUCGCAUGGUGGACCGACGAAAGGGUUACCGGACCGGGAGGGUCUCGCGGCCUAUCAGCUUGUUGGUGAGGUAACGGCUCACCAAGGCAUCGACGGGUAGCUGGUCUGAGAGGAUGAUCAGCCACACUGGGACUGAGACACGGCCCAGACUCCUACGGGAGGCAGCAGUAGGGAAUAUUGCACAAUGGGCGAAAGC